GGGGGCUUUACGGAUUACGGGAACACAGGGACUUCUGACUCUUAAUCAGCGGGUCCAAGGUUCGAGUCCUUGUGCGCCCACCA
rnacentral:tRNA from 1 species